GACGAACCGUGCGAACGUUGUCCGGAAUCACUGGGCGUAAAGCGCACGUAGGCGGGACGGUGCGUCGGUGCUGAAAGCGCCAGGCUUAACCUGGCGAGGCGUGCCGAUACGACCGACCUCGAGGCAGACAGAGGGUGGCGGAAUUCCGGGUGUAGUGGUGAAAUGCGUAGAGAUCCGGAGGAACGCCGGUGGCGAAAGCGGCCACCUGGGUCUGACCUGACGCUGAGGUGCGAAAGCGUGGGGAGCAAACCGG
rnacentral:rRNA from 1 species